UCGAACGCGAAAGCCUCCUUCGGGGGGCAAGUAGAGUGGCGCACGGGUGAGUAACACGUAGGUAAUCUACCUUUGGAUUGGGAAUAACCACCGGAAACGGUGGCUAAUACCGAAUAAUGCAGCGGCACCUAAUGGUGACAGUUGUUAAAGCGGGGGAUCGAAAGACCUCGCGUCUGAAGAGGAGCCUGCGGCAGAUUAGCUAGUUGGUAAGGUAACGGCUUACCAAGGCGAUGAUCUGUAGCCGGCCUGAGAGGGCGGUCGGCCACACUGACACUGACAUACGGGUCAGACUCCUACGGGAGGCAGCAGUCGGGAAUUUUGGGCAAUGGGCGAAAGCCUGACCCAGCAACGCCGCGUGAAGGAUGAAAUCCUUCGGGAUGUAAACUUCGCAAGAACGGGAAGAAUAAGUAAGGGUUAAUAUCUCUUACGAUGACGGUACUGUUUGUAAGCUCCGGCUAACUCCGUGCCAGCAGCCGCGGUAAUACGGGGGGAGCAAGCGUUGUUCGGAUUUACUGGGCGUAAAGGGCGCGUAGGCGGCCACCGCAAGUCGACUGUGAAAUCUCCGGGCUUAACCCGGAAAGGUCAGCCGAUACUGCGGGGCUAGAGUGCAGAAGGGGCAACUGGAAUUCUCGGUGUAGCGGUGAAAUGCGUAGAUAUCGAGAGGAACACCUGCGGCGAAGGCGGGUUGCUGGGCUGACACUGACGCUGAGGCGCGAAAGCUAGGGGAGCGAACGGGAUUAGAUACCCCGGUAGUCCUAGCC
rnacentral:rRNA from 1 species